GGUAUAGCUCAGUUGGUUAGAGCGCUAGAUUGUGGCUCUAGAGGCCCAGGGUUCGAAUCCCUGUAUC
rnacentral:tRNA from 1 species